rnacentral:ncRNA from 1 species
GCGCCAUCAAUGGGGUGCUGCAAGAUUGCGGCUGAGAUGAUACCCGGGAAAUUUUUCCACACCUGAUUCGGAUAAUGCCGACGUAGGGAUUUUUUGAUUUAUCAUC